rnacentral:rRNA from 1 species
UACGGGGGGAGCAAGCGUUGUUCGGAUUUACUGGGCGUAAGGGGCGCGUAGGCGGCCACCGCAAGUCAGUUGUGAAAUCUCUGGGCUUAACCCAGAACGGUCAGCUGAUACUGCGGGGCUAGAGUGCAGAAGGGGCAAUUGGAAUUCUCGGUGUAGCGGUGAAAUGCGUAGAUAUCGAGAGGAACACCUGCGGCGAAGGCGGCAUCCUGGACCGGCAUUGACGCUGAGGCGCGAAAGCCAGGGGAGCAAACGGG